GGGAAUCUACCUUUUGCUACGGGAUAGCUCCGGGAAACUGGAAUUAAUACCGUAUGUGCCCUUCGGGGGAAAGAUUUAUCGGCAAAGGAUGAGCCCGCGUUGGAUUAGCUAGUUGGUGGGGUAAAGGCCUACCAAGGCGACGAUCAGUAGCUGGUCUGAGAGGAUGAUCAGCCACACUGGGACUGAGACACGGCCCAGACUCCUACGGGAGGCAGCAGUGGGGAAUAUUGGACAAUGGGCGCAAGCCUGAUCCAGCCAUGCCGCGUGAGUGAUGAAGGCCUUAGGGUUGUAAAGCUCUUUUGUCCGGGACGAUAAUGACGGUACCGGAAGAAUAAGCCCCGGCUAACUUCGUGCCAGCAGCCGCGGUAAUACGAAGGGGGCUAGCGUUGCUCGGAAUCACUGGGCGUAAAGGGCGCGUAGGCGGCCGAUUAAGUCGGGGGUGAAAGCCUGUGGCUCAACCACAGAAUUGCCUUCGAUACUGGUUGGCUUGAGACCGGAAGAGGACAGCGGAACUGCGAGU
rnacentral:rRNA from 1 species